rnacentral:lncRNA from 1 species
AAGCUCCCAUUCCAUUCCUCCAAGACCCUGGAUGCAAUGUAGUUCUGUGUCUGUGUACUUCUAAUGGUGGCCAUAAAUUUGCAACCUAUGGCCUAUUGUAGCAAAGCAUGCACCUUAUUAGAGACCAGAGUUGAAAAGACCAGCAGCCGGUAGCCACGAAAUCAGGGGGAGUUGAGGUCUCUAGACGUUGGUAAAUGGUGAUUUCUUGAUGCAUC